rnacentral:lncRNA from 1 species
AGAGCAGAGAAUUUAUUUGGCUCACCACUCUCUCUCCAGCGCUUAGCACAGGCCUGGCACACACUAGGCUCUCAAUAAAUAUUAAAUGAAUGGAUUAAUUAAUUGAUAGUGCACAUGUAAAGGAAAGAUAUCUUUUUUUUAAAAAAGAUUUUAUUUAUUUAUUCAUGAGAGACAGAGAGAGAGAGGAAGAGACAGGAAGAGGGAGGAGGCUCCAUGCAGGGAGCCCGAUGCAGGACUCGAUCCUGGGAUUCCAGGAUCACGACUUGGGCUGAAGGCAGAUGCUCAACCACUGAACCAACCAGGUGUCCCUAAAGGAAAGAUUUCUAAAUGACCUUGCUUUUCACUCUCUCAGAGAGGAAGGUGUUCUUUCGCAUCUAGGUUUCAAAGGGAAAAUAAGUUGGGUCCCAGGGGUUCUGUUCUUCUACCCGUGUGCUCCACUGACAAUUCUAUAUAUGAGAAACCCUAUUUACCUGGGCAUUCCCUGUAGUGCGGGUCCCUCGGGAAGCACCUGGAUUGGAGGAAGGAGGUGGAGGUGGAAGGGAGGUAAGUAAGUGUUGAGUGUUUUCCAAACCAAUCUUCCCAUCACACAUACAUUUUUAACGCUGUCAGAAUUUAAUUUGUUAUAGGAAGCUGGAAGCAGUCGCGGUGUGUGUAAAUAGGCAGCUGUGGGAAGACUGCAAACCAGUCGACCGCACAGUCCGCAGACCAGUCAACGUCUGAAGCCAUUUGAUGCAUGGGUCGCUGUCCCUGGUGCUGAAAUAAUAGGCUCCGCUGGGCACCCGGGCCUCCCGGGCGGGCCACCUCUGUCGGAGGUGCUGAAACAGCCUCUGCGAGCCCCCCGGGGCACGUGGUCACCAAGCCCCGCCAGGGUUGGGUCACCGUAAUGGCAGCUGUUGGAGACCACCAGGCUGGUCUGUAAUUCAAUUCUAAUUUGGCAUCUCUUGAAGUUAAUCCAGGAGCUGCUGCGACAGCCAUCCUAUUCUGCUCUAGGGAGAGUGGCAGGGCUAUGGGAUGAUGAGAACUUUUGGCAGCUCCACGGGGCACGUCCAGCCUCAGGCGUUGUGAGCCACAUCAAUAAUGCCACGAGGAAGGACAGAGGUGCCACAGGUCGUGGUUCACAGUCUGCGUUCACCAUGACACCUGUCAGUCGAGCCUUACACUGCAUGGCCUGCAGUGGUGCCCCAUGCCUCAUUAUCCUCAUUUGCGCAAUGGGCAGGUGUGUUUCCUGUUUCCCUCAAGAUGGAAGAUAAAGCACAAGCUCUGUGAAUUUCAUGGCCCUCAAGAAGUGAUUGACAGAUGAUGGUUCAAAUUUUGGACUGAUGGAGUGGAGUGACCAUUUAAAAAUAUCUGCUAGUCAUUUUGAGGAGUGACUUGUAUAAAAUACACGCAUCUUAAGUAAAAGUGUGUGUGCGUGUGUAACCACCAUCCAGAUAAAAAUGCAAAACACUUUUAGCACCACCUCUUUGUGUUGCUUCCCACCCCUUUUCUGACAUGUCAUCAUAGAUGAGUCCUUCUUGUUCUUGAACUUCACAUAAAUGUAUCUGCUCUUCUGUGUCUGGCUUCUUCCAUUCAACAUCGUGUCUUGAGAUUCAUCUAUGUCACUGCAUAGAAGUAGUUCAUUCUUUUUUUUUUAUUUCUGUAUAAUACUCUUUUGUGUAAAUAAACCACAGUCUAUUGAUCCAUUCUACUGUUGAUGGACAUUUGAGUUGUUCCCAGUUUGAGGCUGUUAUGAAUAAAGCUGUGAACAUUCCUGUGUGUGCCUUUUGAUGGACAAAGCACUCAUUUAUGUUGGGUUUAUACCCAGGAGUGAAAUUGCGGAUCAUAGUAUACAGAUAUGUUUCUAAAGGGGGUUGCGUCAAUUCACAGUCAUUUUUUAAAAAAUGAAUUUCUCCUUUCUGAUUUUGCCUUUCUUCAUUCUUUUGAUCAACAGAGAAGAUGUUCUAGGGAAAAACUCUGUUUCAAUAAUGUGGCUUUAGAUUUUCCUGGGACAUUUUAUUGAUCAAUAUUGAUUCAAUGACUAUUCCCCACUAGUCUCUUCCUAGAAACCAGAGACAUUCUUCUCUCAGAAACUUUCCUGUCUUUGGUUAUCGCCAUGACUGACUCCUGUGAUGGAAUGUGAACGAGAUGACGCAGAGCCUCGAUUGAAUAACCUUCUCCUUCUUCCUCCACGCCCCAGUUACAUGUCUGAGAGAAGAAUCUGUUCAAGAAGAGCUGAGAACGUGGAAUUUAUCUCCCAGUGCAAUGGAGGACUCUUGGGAGCUCAGUUAAAAAUCUGCAAGGAAUCUUAUGCCCCAAGAAUGAGAUGGGGUUAGGUAGCAGGGAAAAUAUCAAGCUCCUUCUCCUUUGUUCUUUCCCAUUCUUGUCUUUUCUCCAGAUUUUAUGAGAUUUGGGAGCAUUGUGUCGACUGCUAGUUUACAAUGUUUAAAUAAUUUUAGGAUUCAAAUUUGGACUGUAUUAUUGACAGCUCAACAAUCUCAAGGGCACACGUGGAGUAUUUUACAGAUCGUCUUAAACACUGAUCCGUUCAUUAGAAGACCCAGUGCUCACAGUCUGCCUCCCCUCCCUAGCUGUACUCCCUGGCCUUGGGGUCAUGAGAUUUCCCAUUACACGUCUACUUCCUUGUAAAAUCUCUCUCAGUUGUUCUAUGCUCCCCUCUUAAAAACACUGGUUCUCUGUCCUUCUCCCUCACUCCUUUCCUCUGGACCUCUUGUUUUCCCUCUCUGCUUCCCCUCUCACUUCCUUUUGUUUGGCAUGCCCUUUGGAGAAAAGAUGUCUGGGUUCUGAACAGCCCAAAUGGCUGGUAAAAAAUAAAACGAGACUCCAGUGUUCUCCUGAGAUGGAGCUAAGGGUUCUUAUAGCCCCUUUAGAGGUAACAAUAGAGAUGGAUAAUGGUUUGUACUUUAUGAAAUGGAAGCAAUCAGGGCUAUGCCAACAAAACCCAAAGACGUUCCACCCUGCCUUUCUGCGUUGAGGUUGGAGAAGCUCUUGGCCUGAGACUUAAAGGACUUGAAACUUAGGAUGAGGAAGGAUAGUAGAACACAUUUGUGGUGUACCUUGACUUGGAUCCCUCUGGCCUAGGGAGUUGGGGGUCAGGCAGGCAAUGGUGGGACAAAAGAGGGUGCGGUGUUUACCGUGGGGCCCUGGGAAUCUUGGAGGGUCGCAUAGGUCCUCGACAUGUCUUUAGGGAGUCCCUGCAGGACUGGGAUUAGGAGCUCUGCCUGUCUCAAGGUUAUUUAACUUCUUCAUCAGCCAUCAGGGCUACCUGCGGGUCAUACAAAAAGUGAUCUCACAGCUGCAGGAUUCUCUCCUGGUCCCCCCUGCCCACCCCGGCCUGAAGAUGGUCACUGUCAGCACUUUCCCUCUCUAUGUAGAUCAAUAGGGCCCUUGGAUAUGACCUCAAGUUCAAUUAUGGCUUCAAUUAUGGAAUAAAGAGGCUGUUAUUGCACACCUACCUCUUAUUAAAAACACUACACUGGGGGCCUGGCAGAGGCUGGACCUGGGGGAAAUCAUUAGCCCACUAAUUUGAAAUCAAUUUAAAAUGCAUUUGCUUAAUGGUAUAAGCCUAGUGAAUUAUCUAUAAAUUGUUAAUUUAGUUGAAUGUCACACCAGAUUUUCAUUUUAUAAAUUGCAUUUUGGUGUUGGCAAAUGUAUGUGUCCUUUCUCUCCCCUCCACCCGUGCUUCCUCUCUUUUUCUAAAACAAACCUUGAUAAUCCAUCAUCUGGGAUUCAACCUGUAACAGGAGGGUCGAACAGAAUUCGAGCCAUAGUAAGAGGCCUCAUGCACUCCCAUUCAUUCCCUGGGAACCACGACACCGCCUUGUGAGUAAGCCUGGUGAGUGACACAUCGUCCCGUGACCCCUGUUCCUCCGGCCUGACGGUCAGCCGAGCCCCCAAAGCAAAACCACUCAGCUAAACCACAGCUGACUGCAGACGCAGGAGGGAGCAUCUAGGAUCAGAACAACCACCCAGAUGAGCCCAGCUUAAUUUAAUUAGCUUACAGACUCAUGAGCUAAAUACAUGGCCGUUGUUUUAAGCCACUGGUGUUUGAAGUGGUUUGGUAGGCAGCAGUAGAGACUGGUAUGUCGGGACUCAGCUCAUGUGGCUUCCACGGGUUGGAUCCCUGGCAGCCUGAUGGUCUGACCACGGGGAAAGGAUGUGUCCCAAGGUAUCAGAUGCCUCAAGGACCCCCUGCGGCCCAGAGUCCCCGAGUGGGACCCUUGGAAUUCAGCGAUCCAGGGGACAAGGCGGGGAGAGUCUUGCCUCAACUUCAUUUACUGUGGGAUCUUGGAAGAAAUCACUUCACCUCCCAAGCCUCAUGCUUCUCCUCCGUAAACUGGGGCGCUGGUCGGCCUGCUUGGCAAAGUCGUGAGACACUGAUGAGACGGCAGGCAGCUCGGGAACCGCAGAGUGCUGUACACACUUUAGCGCAUCUCUCUUUUUAUUGUAAGAGUGUCAUCGAUGCUCUCUGUUCCUGUCGACGCUGCCGGCACCACCAAGGCACGGCAGAUCGUCGCCGGCUGCGGAGGCCAUUGCAUGCAGGAAGAACUGACCUUGGGGUCAGCCAGCUUGGGUUAGAAUCCCACCACUGGAGAAGGUGGGUGAUUCACUUUCUUCUUUGAAAAAUGGGGGAUACAAUCCUCCUUUCGGGGAGGGUGGUAAGGAUGAAGCGACUUCAAGGCAUGUGGGAGGGACCCAGUUACACGUCAGCUGCCCCCAGUCCUCCCUCUCCGCCCGCCCUGCAGAGUUGUGUUCGCCAAGCCAAGGCAGAUGCGCCCGGAGGGCACUGUGGCGGGCAGAGCGGGGCGCCCGGGGGCAGCCUGGGCAGAGGCCCUUCCCUCCCCACGCAAGCCAGGUAGGUACAAGCAGCACCUCCGUCAGGUGACCUGUGCAGAACAAAGGCUCCCCGGUCUGCUGAGAAGCCACAUCCUUCACCUCGGGUCCUUCUGACAAGAGCCGGGGAGGAGGUGACGGCAACGAGGGAUGGAGUGGGUGGAGAGCAACAGGCACCUGUUCAUUCCUCCUCCUGCAGCGAAGCAACGCAAGGGCAGCGCUCUGGCCCAGUUCUGACAAGACAGUUCCCAUUCUACAGGUGGGCAGACGGAGGCUUCAAGGCACAGGGAAUUCAUUCGGUCAACACAUAUUUACCGUGAGUGUAUUUAUGCCAGGAGCUGGGGAUGUUCAGUCUUUGCCUUCAUGGACUAUGACCUCGUGGGGAGAGAGAGACAAGUAGAAGGUCACUGAAAAUACAGGGCAGAAGCAAUCCAAAGGGCUAUGGGGUCACAUCGCAGGACAACCAGCCCAGACUUGGGGCACCCCUGAAGGCGUCCUGGCGGGAGCUGAGUCCUGAGGGGUAGAGAGUUGCGGUGAAGGUGCAGUAGGGGAGGAGUGCUCGAGGCAGGGGGGACGGUCUGCGGAGCUGGGGGUGAGCCACGGCACCACGUGCACCAGGACUGGAUGAAACUUGGUUCGGCUGAGGCCUGAGGUACAAAAUGGAGGCAGUGGCGUGAGAUAAAAAUGGGGAAAUUGUCAAUGAGAUGCUAAAAGACCUUGAAGGACCUUCAACUUUAUUGUGCAAGUCAUGGUUGGUGCUUCCAUCAGCUACUGUCGCAAUAAAGCUGCAAAAAAACCCAAAAACAAAUCUAACCAGCCAACCAAAAACUACCUAAACUUGGUGGCUUCGAUCACUAGGGUCCGCUGGGCGUCAUAAGAUCUGUGCAAGGACCAGCUUCUCUUGGCUCCGGGCUCCAGCUGGGGUCAAGUCUGUGCCACAGCUCUCGGCCUCUGGGAACCAGCGGGCUCCCUGGGCAUGGCUUUCCCUUGGAGGAGCCGUCAAGUCCCCGCAGGCUCCCAUAUUUCAGGUCUUGGCUUGCUCUACUCCUGCCAACAUCCCAACAGACAAUUUAGAGUCACAAAGCUAGACCCAGCAUCGGUGGCCCAAGGAAACACAUUCCCCCCAGAGUUGAAGAAAAGCUAAUUGGGGAGCAAAUGGCUCCUGUUUACUGAGGUGCUUUGCAACAUCAAUGCUGCCCUGAGUUGGUUGAAACCUGCUUUGUAACAAUGACGGUCGUGACGAUGGUUCAGCGGGUCUCGAUGCGGCCAAGCCCUCGGCAUUAUCUUACCUCGUUCAAAAUGCGACAACCAUGCACGCGGGUUAUUCUAUUUAAGGGAUGAGCAAACAGGCGGAGAUAGAGCAAUGACUUGCUCAAAUUCACACAGUUAAUGGAGGCGGAAGGAGGACACAAAACCCCGGGUUCUAGGCUCCGUACCAAAGCAGUCGCGGGGCCCGCCCGGGUUUCUCCAUCACCCUGGGCUGCCUGUCCCAAGCAAGCCCCUGCCUGCCGGACUCCGGGGGAGGGGGAGGGACGGGCGCCAGGCAGCGCCACACUCCCCAUCACUCCAAAGGCUCUGAUGCAACUGGCUCCAGAGUGGGUGAUUGUCCCUUGUUCCUGCUCAGCGACGGGGCAGGGAGCAGCUGCCGCCCGGCCAGCUCCCAGCAGUGCCCGGAUUCGGCGGCGCCUCUUCUGGGAGGGGGGGCUCCCUCCCCUUCUUGCUCACUGCUCUCCCUGACUCGCUCCCCCUCCUCCAGGCCCCCCUCUGCCCUGCAGCCCGAGUGAGCUCUCUAAGGAGCAAAUGAAACCUACAGCUCUCCUCUGCUUAAAAAAAAAAAAAAGAAAAAGAAAAAAGAAAA